rnacentral:piRNA from 1 species
UGACUGUACAAGGGAUAUGAUGGUAGAU